CUGACCGCUGGCGGCGUGCCUAAUACAUGCAAGUCGAGCGAACAGACGAGGAGCUUGCUCCUCUGACGUUAGCGGCGGACGGGUGAGUAACACGUGGAUAACCUACCUAUAAGACUGGGAUAACUUCGGGAAACCGGAGCUAAUACCGGAUAAUAUAUUGAACCGCAUGGUUCAAUAGUGAAAGACGGUUUUGCUGUCACUUAUAGAUGGAUCCGCGCCGCAUUAGCUAGUUGGUAAGGUAACGGCUUACCAAGGCAACGAUGCGUAGCCGACCUGAGAGGGUGAUCGGCCACACUGGAACUGAGACACGGUCCAGACUCCUACGGGAGGCAGCAGUAGGGAAUCUUCCGCAAUGGGCGAAAGCCUGACGGAGCAACGCCGCGUGAGUGAUGAAGGUCUUCGGAUCGUAAAACUCUGUUAUUAGGGAAGAACAAAUGUGUAAGUAACUAUGCACGUCUUGACGGUACCUAAUCAGAAAGCCACGGCUAACUACGUG
rnacentral:rRNA from 1 species